AACGAACGCUGGCGGCAUGCCUAACACAUGCAAGUCGAACGAGACCUUCGGGUCUAGUGGCGCACGGGUGCGUAACGCGUGGGAACCUGCCCUUAGGUUCGGAAUAACUCCCCGAAAGGGGUGCUAAUACCGGAUAAUGUCUUCGGACCAAAGAUUUAUCGCCUUUGGAUGUGCCCGCGUUGGAUUAGCUAGUUGGUAGGGUAAAAGCCUACCAAGGCGACGAUCCAUAGCUGGUAUGAGAGGAUGAUCAGCAACACUGGGACUGAGACACGGCCCAGACUCCUACGGAAGGCAGCAGUGGGGAAUAUUGGACACUGGGCGAGAGCCUGAUCCAGCAAGGCCGCGGGAGUGAUGAAGGCCUUAGGGUUGUAAAGCUCUUUUACCCGGGAUGAUAAGGACAGUACCGGGAGAAUAAGCUCCGGCUAACUCCGU
rnacentral:rRNA from 1 species